CAACCCUCGCAGCCCAUCUGGGCAGCGGUGUUGGGGACCGGCACCACCGGCGAAGCCCUUAGGGGCCCAGCCGGCGCCGCCCCCGAAAUACAGUGGCGGUCUCGCUGCAGCCUCCCUUGCGUAGUAGCACACCUCGCACCGGAGCGCAGCGCGGCCACGCCGUAAAACCCCCGACUUUCUGA
rnacentral:misc_RNA from 1 species